UCCCUGGUGGCUUAGCAGUAAAGAAUCUGCCUGCCAAGCAGGAGACUCAAGUUCAAUCCCUGGUUCAGGAA
rnacentral:tRNA from 1 species